rnacentral:rRNA from 1 species
UACGAAGGGGGCUAGCGUUGCUCGGAAUCCCUGGGCGUAAAGCGCACGUAGGCGGCUUGUUAAGUCAGGGGUGAAAUCCUGGAGCUCAACUCCAGAACUGCCUUUGAUACUGGCGAUCUCGAGUCCGGGAGAGGUGAGUGGAACUGCGAGUGUAGAGGUGAAAUUCGUAGAUAUUCGCAAGAACACCAGUGGCGAAGGCGGCUCACUGGCCCGGAACUGACGCUGAGACGCGAAAGCGUGGGGAGCGAACAGG